ensembl:lncRNA
ACACCGAUACUGAUUACACCGAUACUGAUUACAUUGAUACCGAUACUGAUUACACCGAUACUGAUUGCAUUGAUACUGAUACUGAUUACACAGAUACUGAUUACACCGAUACUGAUUACAUUGAUACCGAUACUGAUUACACCGCUGCUGAUUACACCGAUACCGAUUACAUUGAUACUGAUACCGAUUACACUAAUACCGAUUACACCGAUACUGUUUACACCGAUACUGAUUACACCGAUACUGAUUACACCGAUACUGAUUACACUGAUACUGAUUACACCGAUACUGAUUACACCGAUACUGAUUACACCAAUACUGAUUACACCGAUACUGAUUACACCGAUACUGAUUACACUGAUAGCACUGAUACUGCUAUUGAAGGAGUAAGAUGUUUGAGUUGAGAGAGAUACACCAAGGAGUUUCCAAAACUGCCUCUACUCUCAGGAUCUUUGUCUUGACAACAGAAUAUAUAUUUGGUACGGAUACAUAACAAAACUCACUGGGUGGCUGGUCUAUGGGAAAAUAUCUGAUGUCGAUACCACAGCUCUCAAAUAGGUUCCAAUUGGGAACAAUAUCCCAAUUGUACCAAGUUCCAAUUGGGAUUUGGAAAAGUAAAUGUACUUAAUCCCAUAAGGCCUAUUGAUCUGCAGUGAGGCAUUUAAUUUACAUUGGCACCUUGUUCCCCAACUAGCUUACCUGGUUAAAUAAAGGUGGAAUAAAAAACCUUGGCACGACUCUGAGCGCUGAUGGGAAACUGCAUGCUUUCACAGAACACGAUGACAACACUGUUGGCUUGAACCGAGUCAACUGAUGUGUCUUAACUUGCUUUGUCUGGGAUGACAAACAUCAGGUGAUCACCGAGAAGAAUGAGGGGGUAAAUUAAUCACAAGGACAUGCAAAUUCUCAGCAUUAUGGAUAUUGUUUAUACUGUCCUUCAGAUAUAUUGUUUAUACUGUCCUUCAGAUAUAUUGUUUAUACUGUCCUUCAGAUAUACUGUUUAUACUGUCCUUCAGAUAUAUUGUUUAUACUGUCCUUCAGAUAUAUUGUUAUACUGUCCUUCAGAUAUAUUGUUAUACUGUCCUUCAGAUAUAUUGUUUAUACUGUCCUUCAGAUAUAUUGUUUAUACUGUCCUUCAGAUAUAUUGUUUAUACUGUCCUUCAGAUAUAUUGUUUAUACUGUCCUUCAGAUAUACUGUUUAUACUGUCCUUCAGAUAUAUUGUUUAUACUGUCCUUCAGAUAUAUUGUUAUACUGUCCUUCAGAUAUAUUGUUAUACUGUCCUUCAGAUAUAUUGUUAUACUGUCCUUCAGAUAUACUGUUUAUACUGUCCUUCAGAUAUAUUGGCAGUGUGAACAUGUCCCAAACCUAUAUUUACAGAUAAUGAUUUAAUACAGGUAAAUGCUUUGAAACUCAUUCAUUCUAAGCUAUCAAGCCCCCUGAAACCUGUCAGUCAGUUUGUGUUCUGUUGACAGCUUUGAGCCACAGCGAGCACCAAUUCCACAUUUACACCCAUCAUCCACAUCAGGUGAUCACCAAGUAUUCUGAAGAUUAUAGUUUGUCUGUUUAAUAAAUUUAAAAAAAUAAUACAUCUACUCUUAAGAUGUUGUGGUCACAUGUAGGAGGAAAACAGGGGUUGGAUAGAAAAGGGUUUUUGGAAAACCGCAAAGUGUCCUGAUAGCUGUCAGUCAGGUUCUGUAAUGUUAGCAUUCCUGAGCCACACCCAGUACCACUUCCACAUCCUGGGACUUGCAAGGUUCAUAAGAAUCUACACAGUGGAUAUUUUUAGUGGGGAGUUAAAUAGUUCAAAAUAGUUCUAGAAGCAAUAGAAUCCUACAUCCCAGCAUGGCUAGAACUUUAAUAAGAUACCUUUCUUCCAAAAUAUAUACAAUUAAGAUCGUGACUACUACUCUUCUUUUACAAACUUGUUUUAUUUUUAUUUUUAGAUACUGUCGUCUUUUCUGUGUGUGGUCAUACUAUAUACACUGACAGACAAGUACCAACAGGAUAGUGUCUACUUUUUGCCGUGAGGCAGAAUACGCUGCUGUCAUAACAUACAGGCAACCUCCAUAUCUAUGUAAUUACACUGCUAAAACCUAAAGCAGCGACAAAAUAGCAUUUCAUCCAGUCACCGCCACGUCAGGAUACUGUACCUGAAACAGGGAGACCGUAACAGGUAAUCACCUGAAAUCAGGUUACACCUGUCUAGAACCAACUGGUAUAAAGGAGUGGAUCCACUAGAAAAAUCAACAACAACAGACUAGUUCCACACCCAGCUGUAGCUUUGACAACAAACAAUUUACUUAUCUCGUUUUAUGUCAUCUGGUUAAUCACAAGCAGCUAGCGUAAUAACCCUACAUGGCCACAAACAAAUCAUCUUGAACCAAUCACCUUCCAAAUCAAAUCAAAAUGUUAUUUGUCACAUGCGCCGAAUACAACAGGUGUAUUUACAAGCCCCUUAACCAAUAAUGUAGUUUUAAGAUUUUAAGAAAAUCCCCCCCCCCCCAAAAAAAGAGAUAAGAACAACAAAUAAUCAAAGAAUAAGAGCUAUAUUUUCACAGGUUGCUGUUUAUUGUAAUGAGUCUUGUCCUGAAGGCUUUCCACAUGUUUCGGACUCGGCUAGGCGAACCUAGUGUGCCAUAAUACCAUAAAAGACCUUCGCUUGAAAAAUGAGAAAAGACGGCAAUAGUAUUGUUUGUCCACCUUGAGACGCCGUAGCCAGUAUACAUACACUGCCUCAAAAUAGUCUGAAUUAAUCUAAGAUUAAAACUUUUAAAAAAUGACAGAUUUCUUGAGUUGAUGUUUUGCCGAGGAGAUUUUAGGUCGCACAAUUUUACAUCUAAGAUGUUUUGGUGCAGUAUUUCCCAAGUGAAAAAAAAUGUGCUUUUGGUAUUAAAUUACUGUUAGGGUUAAGCACUCUGGGCUGUGGUGUCUGUGGGUUGUAGGUGAUUACACUGUGUCUGUGGGUUGUAGGUGACUAUUCUGUGGGUUGUAGGUGACUACACUGUCUGUGGGUUGUAGGUGACUAUUCUGUGGGUUGUAGGUGACUACACUGUGUCUGUGGGUUGUAGGUGACUAUUCUGUGGGUUGUAGGUGACUACACUGUGUCUGUGGGUUGUAGGUGACUAUUCUGUGGGUUGUAGGUGACUACACUGUCUGUGGGUUGUAGGUGACUACACUGUGGGUUGUAGGUGACUACACUGUGGGUUGUAGGUGACUACACUGUGCGUUGUAGGUGACUACACUGUGGGUUGUAGUUGACUACACUGUGCGUUGUUGGUGACUACACUGUGUCUGUGGGUUGUUGGUGACUACACUGUGGGUUGUAGGUGACUACACUGUGUCUGUGGGUUGUAGGUGACUAUUCUGUGUCUGUGGGUUGUAGGUGACUACUCUGUGGGUUGUAGGUGACUACACUGUGGGUUGUAGGUGACUACACUGUGGGUUGUAGGUGACUACACUGUGGGUUGUUGGUGACUACACUGUCUGGGUUGUAGGUGACUAUUCUGUGUCUGGGUUGUAGGUGACUACACUGUGUCUGUGGGUUGUAGGUGACUACUCUGUGUCUUUGGGUUGUAGGUGACUACACUGUGGGUUGUAGGUGACUACACUGUGGGUUGUAGGUGACUACUCUGUGUCUUUGGGUUGUAGGUGACUACACUGUGGGUUGUUGGUGACUACACUGUCUGGGUUGUAGGUGACUAUUCUGUGUCUGGGUUGUAGGUGACUACACUGUGUCUGUGGGUUGUAGGUGACUACACUGUGUCUGUGGGUUGUAGGUGACUACACAGUGUCUGUGGGUUGUAGGUGACUACACUGUCUGUGGGUUGUAGGUGACUACUCUGUGUCUUUGAGGCAAAAUGUGCUGACUGUGAUAUGUGGUUGUCCCACCUAGCUAUCUGGAGAUGAAUGUACUGACUAUGACUGGUCCACCUACCCAUCUGGAGAUGAAUGUACUAACUGUGACUGGUCCACCUAGCUAUCUGAUGAAUGUACUGACUAUGACUGGUCCACCUACCUAUCUGAUGAAUGUACUGACUAUGACUGGUCCACCUACCUAUCUGGAGAUGAAUGUACUAACUGUGACUGGUCCACAUAGCUAUCUGGAGAUGAAUGUAUGGACUAUGACUGGUCCACAUAGCUAUGUGGUAUAGCUUGUGGUUCUAUAGUCUGUCCUGUUGUCAGUCAGUGGUUCUAUAGUCUGUCCUGUUGUCAGUCAGUGGUUCUAUAGUCUGUCCUGUUGUCAGUCAGUGGUUCUAUAGUCUAUAGGUUGGGAACCCCCAGGCGUUUCAGAUUUGUUUUAGCCCUGAGCUGGUUCACCCUUUAGAGUGUGUGUGUGCGUAUGUGUGUGUGUGUGUGUGUGUGUGUGUGUGUGUGUGUGUGUGCGUAUGUGUGUGCGUAUGUGUGUGCGUAUGUGUGUGUGUGUGUGCGUAUGUGUGUGCGUAUGUGUGUGUGUGUGUGUGUGUGUGUGCGUGCGCGUGUGUGUGUGUGUGUGUGCACGCGUGCGUGUUAUGCUGGGUGGAACAGCACACAGCCUGACAGAGGUAGGCCUUUCUAGCUGCCGUUCUCGAUUGCAAAAUACCAAAUAAAUAUUUUGCUUCCAACAGCCUCUUUCUCCCAUCUGUGUCACAAACCAUCCCAGUAUGUGAAGCUAACGACUACCUCUUCUUUUCAAGAGCAACGUUAAUAAAAAUAUAGAUUUUCUCUCUGUGGAGAAACAAGUACUUCACAGAUUCUGCUAAUGCCUGCUCCAAACCGUCUCUAGUGACUGCUCCUAACCGUCUCUAGUGACUGC